UUUCCCUUGCUUAAAUCUCCUCGCGUCCAGCUAUGCAUGAACUCCAGAGACAGACCCCACCGGAGAGGACUGAGCUGCCAUGGAAAAUGACCAGAAAUCUACAUCCUGAGAAAAACCAUCCAUCAUCUUCGGGCAGUCUUACAAUCUGUUAACUUUAGCUGCUACUAAUAAGUCCAGGAAAAGCAAUUAUUACAAUGUUUCACAGAAUGGCUUCCAGAUAGCGUAUGACAUAAACUGCUGUUGGGCAACAUUUCUUGUAAGGAAGUGGCCUUCUUUUCUUCAGUAAGCAACUUUAUCCAAAGCAGGGCUUGGUUCAAAGAU